rnacentral:lncRNA from 1 species
UGGGGAACAGCCCUGGUUUUCAGCCCUGUGAUGUGAGUGACAGAACAAGACUCAUUGUCCCUGCCUCUCCAGAACGUGAGCAGUUUUUACACUGUGAAAUUGGAUGUAACUUCUGUUCUUCUCUUGUGCAUUUGGAGACAUCUUGGUAUGUGCUAGUAUAUCUGCAUCAAGCAAGAAAAAUGGGAGCACUGGGGAUAUUUUCGGCCUUCAUGUUUGAAUAAGAAGUCAGAUGAAUUGCCAGGCAUAUGUAUGUGGAUUAUGGAUACAGAAGAAAAUUCCCAUUGUAUAAAGAAGAAUAUAUGCUGAGCACUGAAGCAGAGAAAAUGAGAGGUGUUUCUACCAAAUGAAAUAAAUAAAGUAACCAUACACCUCUAAGAAACUUGUAGGUGUUUGAGACCUUGUGAUAAAGCUACCACAUUAAGGCAGAUGCUAUAAAACGUCAGUGUUACAGAAACAAAAGUUUGAAAUCUGUAACAUCCCACACAUGAAAGGAGGAAAAGUGACAAGAUUUGCAAAUCCCCCAUGAGGUUAAGGUGAAAUGACACUCAAGUGCCAGUCUGAGAAACAUUUCAUCCACUUCUGACUUAGUGUCAUCUCAAACCAGCGUUGGCUUCUGUGACCAGGUGGAGCAGUUAAGCAAAGAUCUGUAUCUCCUUGGGAACUGGAAGAAGUGUACAGUAAAUGAGGAAAGACAGAGUCAUGAGCUGGAUAAGAAAGCUUCAUCUGACAAUCAGAAAAUAGCCAACAGAUGGAGAUAACUAAAGGGUGAUUUCACUUUUGUGGAUCAUUUGAUUUAAUGAAAGAACACAAGGAGGAUUACUCUGAUGACAUCUUGAUAUAGUGUGUUAAAGAGGCAAGGGAUGGACAUCAACAUGACCAUCCCCAAAUAAAUGAGUGGAUCAUUACAAAUUCCCAGCACUUCUGUACACCUUCACUUGGAAAGAACAGAAGGAUUGAGAGAGAACUCACAAACUCUGCAGAGAGCAUGAACACUCAGUGGUGUUGUUUUGUACAGCAGAAGGGCUUGAAACUGCCAGCAGCUGCACACAUGCAUGGUUACAAAAUACACCGAUACCUGUUCAUCACUAAUAGGAAGUGAGCAUAUAUAUAUUUGGAAAAGGUAGAGUUUGGUUUGAUCAAUUGUCAAAGCAUCAUGACCAGAAAGAGCCAAACCACUUUUGCUUGAAAGCUAGUAGUAUUUAUGGUAAAAGUAUUUCUCUUUUUCCCUUUGCCAAAUAUGUUGGAUUCAGGCUUAUUUAAGGAGGCUCCAAUUUGCUACCUUAAUGUGACUGAGACUAUCAGUUUAAAAAAUUGAAAAAUAUUAAUGUUGGAUUCAAUGACUAAAGGAAAUUAUAUUUUUACAUUUAUGUACUAAAUAAACAUUGUUUAUAUAAUACAUCUCUUAUUAAAAAACACUGAGGAGCACAUUCAUUAAAGAAGUAUCCACUGCUUAUUAUUCACAUGGAAUCAGUUUUAACUGAUUUUAUCA